UUGCAUAUAAUUUAAAGUCAGGCCUGCCCAAUGAUAAAUUUAAUGGCUGCAGUAUUUUGACUGUACAAAGGUAGCAUAAUCAUUAGUUUCUUAAUUAGAAGCUGGUAUGAAUGGUUUGAUGAGAAAAUAACUGUCUUUAUUUAAAUUAACAAAGAAUUUUAUUUUUAAGUUAAAAAGCUUAAAUUUUUUUAAAAGACGAGAAGACCCUAUAGAGUUUAAUAAAUAAUUUAUUUAUAAAUUUAAGAAUUUAAUUUUUAAGUAUUAAAAUUUAUUUUGUUGGGGUGAUAAAAAAAUUAAAUAAACUUUUUUUUAUUAAAAACAUUAAUAUAUGAUUUAAUUUGAUCCAUAUUUUAUGAUUAAAAGAUUAAAUUACCUUAGGGAUAACAGCGUAAUUUUUUUAGAAAGUUCUUAUUGAUAAAAAAGUUUGCGACCUCGAUGUUGGAUUAAAAUUAACAAUCGGUGCAGUAGCUGAUUUGUUGGGUCUGUUCGACCUUUAAAAUUUUACAUGAUCUGAGUUUAAACCGGUGUGAGCCAGGUUGGUUUCUAUCUUUAAUUUAGUUAAAAUAUUUUAGUACGAAAGGACCAAAUAUUUAUAAUAUUUUAUUAAUUUAUUGAAUAAAAUUAUUGUUUUGGCAGAAUAGUGCGUUAAAUUUAGAAUUUAAGUAUAUAUAUAUUUAUAUAGACAAUAUUGAUAUUAUUAGAUUGUGUAUUAAUAAUUGUAAGAAGAUUAAUUUUGAUUAUUUGUGUUUUAAUUGGGGUA
rnacentral:rRNA from 1 species